rnacentral:rRNA from 1 species
UACGUAGGGUGCAAGCGUUAAUCGGAAUUACUGGGCGUAAAGCGUGCGCAGGCGGUUCUAUAAGACAGAUGUGAAAUCCCCGGGCUCAACCUGGGAACUGCAUUUGUGACUGUAGAGCUAGAGACGGCAGAGGGGGAUGGAAUUCCGCGUGUAGCAGUGAAAUGCGUAGAUAUGCGGAGGAACACCGAUGGCGAAGGCAAUCCCCUGGGCCUGUACUGACGCUCAUGCACGAAAGCGUGGGGAG